rnacentral:rRNA from 1 species
UGGGGAAUAUUGCACAAUGGGCGCAAGCCUGAUGCAGCCAUGCCGCGUGUAUGAAGAAGGCCUUCGGGUUGUAAAGUACUUUCAGCGGGGAGGAAGGGAGUACAGUUAAUACCUUUGCUCAUUGACGUUACCCGCAGAAGAAGCACCGGCUAACUCCGUGCCAGCAGCCGCGGUAAUACGGAGGGUGCAAGCGUUAAUCGUAAUUACUGGGCGUAAAUCGCACGCAGGCGGUUUGUUACGUCAGAUGUGAAAUCCCCGGGCGCAACAUGGGAACUGCUUCGGAUACUGGCAAGCUGGAGUCGCGUAGAGGGGGGGAGAAUACCAGGUGUAGCGGUGAAAGGCGUAGAGAUGUGGAGGAAUACCGGUGGCGAAGGCGGCCCCCUGGACGAAGACUGACGCUCAGGUGCGAAGGCGUGGGGAGCAAACAGG